UUAAUAUGCACUGCUCUACCUUUCCCAGCCCGCCCCUGAGUGGAAGCUGUUACUGCUAAUAUUUGAGGAAGGGCUUUUUUCCAUUGCUAUUUCCAAGAUAACACUGUGUAUAAACCCCAAAUUGUUAUUCAUUAUUCUCUCUUCUGCUGUUUGAAAUGAUUCAGUCAUCCCAGAAAAGAAGGGGAAUGGUCUCCACAGCACAGAUUUAUGUGGUGUCUGGGAGCACAGGUCUCUCUGGUACUGUAGCAGAAAUGCUAAGUCCUGGCCUGAACCAGUGAUGGAGCACCUGAUGGGAAGGCAGGGCCAACCCAGGGGAGCUCAGGUGCAUGCAAUGGAGCUGGGAUCCACCCCUUCCCAGACCUCAUUUAAGGGUUGGCAGAGGGAGGUGAGGGCAUCUUUUGCUGGAGAUUCCUGCCUACCUUUCUGAAGUCACAUCUUUUGAAAUGCACGGUCUUAGCAAAAUCCAUUUGAAAUGAAGUCUCAGAGUUGACAAGCAGUGAUUUAUCACAAAGCAGAACCGAAUGAGGACAUACAGAAGAAAUGUUACCUUUGUUUCCAUCCUUCUGGGGAAGUUAUGUAGAUUCUGCUUUGAGCUCCAUCAUGUCUUUGUCUGACGACAAUUGCAAUAAUGUCAAGAGCCCUGGAGUACUUCAAAGCCUGUCUGAAUCUGCUGCAUGGUAUUUCGAAUAUUUUUAGAUUGCUACCAGAUUUUGUACACAUUAAUUUGACGGUCCUUUCUUCAGACUUAAUGCAUAUUUAUACUGAAGUGGGUGCUUUUCUAAUGCACUCUUGGCAUUUUUAAAAUACAGGCCAUGGAAGCUGUUCUCUCACUGUAUCUUCACAUUGAAGAGAAGGGUGGAAAUGGGCAAUUUCCUUACUCAUAGCUACGCUGUUGUAGAAAAGAAGAUGAUGUAUAGUUUUACUGCAGCUAUGAGGAAAAGUGGGCCCAAAAGCCCAGACUGAAAAUUAAAUAUGCUCUUUAAUGGAAAAAAGGUGAUUUGAAUAGUGUUGCAUUUCACUGGAAAGUACACACACUGCAGCAUUCAAAUUUAAAGCGCCCAGAUUUGAGGCACAGAAAGCUAAAUAUUGUGGAAAUGUGAAAUCACCCCAUCAAGAGCAGAAUGUAAAAAGAAAAAAAAAAACAAACAAACCCAAAGAACUCAACCAUUGAAUGAACUUGAGAAAGCAUGACAUUUUCUCACGGUGCAUACGUUGGUGCCUGUGAAUAGAUGUUUACCCAGCUAGCUAGGGAAAAACAACUUUUUUUUUCUGCUUUUCCACGUUCAUUUGUUGUUGAGUUCAGAUGUGCUCUAUACUUGAACGCUCAAGCUAAAGAAAACAACAAAGCCACUUUGAACGACUUGACCAAAUGAACCUGCAGAAUUGCAAAAGAGUGGUAAGGAACACAGCCUCCUUCCCUUCCCCCUUCUUGCUAGAGAAGAAUCCUCAGAUGUGGGGCCUAGGAUGCAGCUCAUCAAAGCUGUUUCCAUUUUGAGCCCCAGUGGGAUGAGGCGGAGGGGUGAUGGGCACUGUAGGGUAUUCCUGUCUCUUUUUGGUGGGGAAACAUCAACCCCACAUCUCAGUGAAUACAAGUCCAUAUUGCUGGAGAGUGUGUUGCUAUGGGUUGCUGCACGUCUGUGCCACUCUUGAGCACAGUGGGAUCAAACACUGGUAAUACUGCAUCCUUGUCUGUGCGGGGAGACACUUCCAUCUGCCUGCUUUGUCUUUCUCUCCUGUUCUCUUGCCAAAACCUCACAGCAUCUUGCCCAGCUCUGCUCCUAAUCCUUUCAUCACCCAAUUCAUUAUGAAAUAGGCCAGCCCAUAGCGACUCCAUCUUAAGCCCACAAAUGGAUGUAGAAGUUAAAACAGUGAAAUUCUUCACAGGAAUUGACUUCAGUUAAGUUUUGGCUGAACCUAUUUUCUUUUGAGAAACUAUGUUUUGAUGAAAACUAGAGGGGUUUUGCACCUCAUGACAUUCUACUGGUUUUGAAAGGAAAAUGUGGUCUUCGGAAAUGUCAAAAUAGUAUUUUAGUGUGUGUGUGUACAUAUAUAUAAUAUAUUUUAAUAUUGUGCUUUUUCAUUGAUUUUGCUUUGAGUAUUUCUGUAUUACUUUGAGGCCUGUCAUAAAUAUUAUUUAAUAGGCAUACAGCCUGACAGCACAACAUGUAUGUAUUCCCUUACCUUUUAUAAUAAAUUUCAAGUACAGUUACUACUGAGUAGAGAUUGAAUGACGAAAUCAACACAAAAUCUUUGAGUAUUUCUCAUUUGAGAAAGCGGACAGGAGCAGCACUCAGAGUAUCACCCAAGAAUAGAUUUUUGUCAGUAGC